AAGGACGUGCUAAUCUGCGAUAAGCGUCGGUAAGGUGAUAUGAACCGUUAUAACCGGCGAUUU
rnacentral:rRNA from 1 species